UAGCUUUAGCACGCGGCUGGCUGGCUUUCUUUUCGCCAGACUCCAGUCAGAAGCAGAAGCCGUUCAAGCUGCGCGACCGCGAUUCAAUCUUGUUAGUUUUAACUACGCCAUGGACGAUGAUGGAAGAGAUGCUAUACACCCGGGCAUGGAUCAUAUAACAACCGCAGUAUUGAAAGCCCAACUGUCUACUACGGGAGAGCGACUGGUUUGCCGUAUUCAAUACUACGUUACAUUUCAAGCAGAUAUGUCCUCCGUUGCCCAAGAAGAUGCUAGAACACAUGAACCUGGACUGGAGCAUACUCACCAAAUAAAAAAAUUACAUCAAUUAAAUAAUAAUAUAAGCAAAUCAUUUUUAGAUGACUGGUGAAUAAAUAAAACAGAAUAUAAUGCACUGUACACACAUGUCUGGACAUUGCUCUUUUUUUUUUAAGGUGAGAUAAGGUAACAUAUACCUUAUCAUUACAUACUAUAUACAUUAUAUCCUAAGGUAACCUAUA